rnacentral:rRNA from 1 species
ACCUACCCAUAACAGGGGCAUAACACUGAGAAAUUGGUACUAAUUCCCCAUAACAUUCGAAGAGGCAUCUCUUUGGGUUGAAAACUCCGGUGGUUAUGGAUGGGCAUGCGUUGUAUUAGCUAGUUGGUGGGGUAACGGCUCACCAAGGCGACGAUACAUAGGGGGACUGAGAGGUUAACCCCCCACAUUGGUACUGAGACACGGACCAAACUCCUACGGGAGGCAGCAGUGAGGAAUAUUGGUCAAUGGACGCAAGUCUGAACCAGCCAUGCCGCGUGCAGGAUGACGGCUCUAUGAGUUGUAAACUGCUUUUGUACGA